AAGACAGACCUGAUUAUGCUCUGCGGAAUUUUUAAUCUAGUCUCCACUCAAUCAUUUACUGUAGCCUUCAUCUAUGCUCGGAACACAUACUCUGAACGGCGUUCUCUGUGGGAAACGAUUGACCAUUUGUCUAAUUCAACCCUACUAGGCAAUCAUCCUUGGUUAGUCAUGGGCGAUUUCAACCAAGUUUUAUCCUUGUCGGAAGCUUACUCCCUUCAUCCGAGUAUCGUCUCUCUUCAAGGUAUGAACGAUCUCCAGGACUGUCUGUCUUCUUCUGGAUUAUUCGAUCUUUCCCAUCGGGGAUGCUUCUUUACUUGGAGCAACAAGAGCCCCUCAAACCCCAAGUCCAGGAAGCUUGACCGAGCUCUCAUUAAUGAAAGCUGGCAGGUCAGUUUUCCCUCCUCAAGCGCUUAUUUUGAUGCCCCGGGAAGCUCUGAUCAUUCUCCUUGCAUUGUCACCUUGUCAAACGAAUCUGUAAGGAGGAAGACCCGCUUUACCUUUUCUCUUUUUAUUCUUCUCACCCGAAGUAUUCAGAUCUUAUGGCAUGUGCUUGGAACAGUCUGGUCAACCCAACGGGUCAUAUGGUUACUUUAUAUCAGCGUUUGAGGUCCGCAAAACUCUGCUGCAAGUCUUUGAAUCAAUGCAGUUUCAGUAACAUUCAGUCUAGGACCAAGGAGGCUUUUGAGAAUUUGGAGUCUAUUCAAUAAAGGCUGUUAUCUAACCCAGUUCCAGCAUUAUUCGAAGAUGAGAAAAUAGCUAAAGAUAAGUGGUUAUUUUCUCGCGUCUGCUGAGGAAAACUUCUUCAGACUCAAGUCCCGAAUUCGCUGGAUGUCGGAGGGAGAUUCUAAUACCAGGUUUUUCCAUAAGUCUGUUGUUGCCAAUCUAUCCAGGAAUAGAAUCCACUUUCUCUACGACAAUGCAAAUGUCAUAAUUUUGGAUCCUCUUCAGCUUAAAAAUAUGGUAACACAGUAUUAUUUGGACUUAUUAGGAUCUGCAAAUCCUGGCGUCCACCCCUACUCUGUUGAUCAUAUAAAGAGUCUUCAUCCCUUUCGAUUUUCAAGUGCCAUUUCAGCCCAGCUGUGUGUUAUUCCUUCCGAUGAAGAGAUCACAGCUUCUGUUUUCUCCUUACCCAAGAGUAAAGCCCCUGGGCCUGACGGGUUUACUAUCGAGUUCUUCAUCUCUUCUUGGACUUUAGUUGGAGCCGAUUUAAUUAAGGCAGUUAAGGAGUUUUUCUUGACAUCCUCAAUGCACAGGCAAGUGAAUUCCACAGUCAUUGCUCUAAUUCCAAAGGUUCCUGGAGCUUCCAAGCUUGGACAAUUUAGGCCGAUAUCCUUAUGUAACACAGUCUACAAGGUUAUUUCCCGUAUUUUGGCUUCUCGGCUCAAGCUUUUUACAGCUGACUCAGUGCAAAGAAAUCAGGCAGGGUUUGUUCAAGGCAGAUUAUUGUGCGAGAACGUUCUUCUUGCAUCCGAACUUGUAGUCGAUUUCAAUAAACCUGGUGAUACUUCUCGGGGCUGUCUACAGAUCGAUAUUUCAAAGGCUUAUGAUAAUGUGGAAUGGAAUUUUGUGUUAAAUAUUCUAAAAGCUUAUGAUCUUCCGGAUGGUUUUAUUCGAUGGAUUAAUCAGUGUAUCAGCACUCCUCACUACUCGGUGGCUCUUAAUGGAGAAUUAGUAGGGUUCUUUCCCGGCAAAAAAGGGUUAAGGCAAGGUGACCCUAUAUCCUCAUCUCUUUUUGUUUUGGCAAUGGAUAUUCUAUCCAGAGAUUUGGAUAGGGCAGCUCGUGAAGGUGUUUUUAACCCUCAUCCUCUUUGUCAUGAGCCUCUCAUUACCUAUUUGAGUUUUGCAGAUGAUGUUCUCAUUUUCUUUGAUGACUCUCAGAGGUCUUUGGACGGUAUAUUACGUGUUUUGCGUAAUUUUGAAGGGGUUUCCGGUUUAGCUCUAAAUCUGAGUAAGUCUUAUCUGUUUGUUGAUGGAAAUAAUCUGGUGGCUUCUCGAGAUUUAGCGGACUUGUUUGGGUUACAGCAGGGGUCUCUUUCGGUCAGAUAUCUUGGCCUUCCUUUGUUACCUCAUAAGAUGAAUCCUCAAGAUUAUCAACCUUUAAUUGAUAAAGUCAAAGCAAGGAUUUCAUCAUGGACUGUCCGUCAUCUCUCCUUUGCAGGAAGGCUUCAACUUAUCCAGUCGGUUCUCUUCAGCAUCAUAAACUUUUGGGCAUCAGUUUUUCCUUUGCCAAAAGGCUGCAUCGACCUCCUUGAAAAGGUGUGCAAUGCAUUCUUAUGGAGCGGUGCGUCUGAUUCUGCCCGCGGGGCCAAAAUUGCUUGGAACUAUGUUUGUAUUCCUAAGAAAGAAGGAGGUUUGGGUUUGAGGAAGAUUAAAGACUCCAACCAAGUCUACAGUCUAAAAUUGAUUUGGUUGAUAUUUGCUAAAAACGGGUCUUUAUGGGUUGCCUGGAUCAAGAAGAAUAUCAUUAAGGAGAAACUCUUUUGGUCCGCAGAUUUCCAUCGGUCCGGGAGCUGGAUUUGCCGAAAACUGUUGAAGCUUCGAGUCAUGGCGCGUUCCUUUCUGGCCUGUCAGGUCAAAAAUGGAAGGAAAGCUCUGUUCUGGCAUGAUGACUGGACUUCUCUGGAUCCCUGAUUGAUUUAACUGGACCUCCUGGUCCAAGGGUUACUGGAAUAUCUUCUUCUGCAACGGUCUCUCAAGCAUGCGCAAAUGGUUCAUGGGCUAUUUCAAACGGAAGACAUCCGAUUCUGGUUUUGCUAAGGGGCUGUCUCCCCCAAAUCCCACCUGAUACUUCCUCUGAACAAGAGGAUUUCUUCCUUUGGAGAAACUCUGCAAAUGAACCUCCGGGUAUGUUUUCAACUUCUAAAACUUGGAAACUCCUUCAUCCGCCAGCCCCAGCUGUCACUUGGUACGGAUCUACUUGGUUUAGAGAUUGCAUUCCAAAACAAGCUUUUGUUUUUUGAAUCCUCAUGCGUGACAGAUUACCAACAAGGGACCGUUUGCGUAGUUGGGGUUUGAAUGUCCCAGAAGAGUGUCUUUUGUGUAACUCAUAUCCGGAAAGCAAAGCUCAUAUUCUGUUCGAUUGCUCUUAUUCCAAGGAAGUUUGGACUUCAUUCUUCAUUCACCGGACUCUCUCGCCUCCUACUCUUCUUCUUGAUAUAGUCUCCUGGGUUCGUAAUCCUUCACGGAAUGCAAAGCUUAAUACUAUUUGCAAGAUCGUUCUACAAGCAGUGGUCUAUUCCUUAUGGAGAGAACGAAACUCACGGUUGCACAAUGCAAUUUUUAAGUCGACCUCUAUUAUUAUCAGGGAAAUUCAACUAAUCAUCAGAGCUAAGCUUGCUAGUAUGGAUCGCAAGGAAAUUCAAAGCCUUUCCCGUCAGACUUCUUCCAUUUCUCCUGAUCACGAAAGUUUCAUAUACACUUGGUUCAAAUACAUCCAGCUGUGACGGCUUCGACUACUCAUUUCCCGUUUCACAUGUGUUUCCUAUAUGUCUUUUAUUUCUUUUUUUUAGGUCCUUUUUAAUUCAGUGUUCCUGUAAUCAAAACGAUGUCCCUUUUAAAGGGUUGGAAUGAAAUAAAAUAGACUUUAAAAAAAAAAAAAAAAAAAAGUCUUUGAGACUUUUCGUAUACUUUAUACAACAUACUGUUCAUAUCCCAACAUGCAGUAAUUUAACAGACUACCCUACGAUUAAAUACAAAAAAGGUUUUCGUUAUGAUUUUUUUUUUUUAAUAGAAGGUUUGGUUUUCGUUAUGAUCAUUUUUAUCUUUCGUUGAACAUGAUACAUGAAUCACUUCAAAUAUAUGUUUUGGCCUUUUGGGGUGAGACUUGUUAUAAAAAACAUCUUCUAUAUGAGAGAAGAUACUUGACCAAAUUAUAUAUCGGACCUGUUAUUUAAGAAAAACAACUCAAAUAGUCAAAUCUUAUUCUCAUGGAACGUGGAAUCCCAUAAAUGAUCUUAUUAGUGAACUCAGCCUCGUUGACCAGAAACAACAAAAAAAAGAAAAAACAAAAACUUGAGAUCCACGACAGAUUCAGGAUCGUAUAUCAUAUACGGUAUAUGUUCAACUUUACGGUGAAGCCAACACUAAUAAGUACGUGAUUUAAGAAAAACAACUCAAAUAGUCAAAUCUUAUUCUCAUGGAACGUGUAAUCCCAUUAAUGAUCAUAUAAGUGAAAAAUCACUCAGCCUCGUUGACCAGAAACAACAAAAAAAAAAAGAAAAAAAAAACAAAACUUGAGAUCCACGACAGAUUCAGGAUCGUAUAUCAUAUACGGUAUAUGUUCAACUUUACGGUGAAGGCAACACUAAUAAGCACGUGAAUUGGAAUCACAAGUAUUCGUAUCACGCUAAAAGUCAACUGUAAAGAUAAAUGAAAACAAUCGAACAAGAAAUUCAUAUAAACGAUAGACCAGCUAACAAUAAUCGAUUUCUAAUUGCCUGGUCAAUGAUAAACUUCAAAAUAUAUCGAACUAUAUAUAUGAACAUAGUCACAUACGCUUGUUAAUCACAAACUUGUGUUAUUAUAAUAUUUAUUUUAACAAUUUAACUCAUAAAACAAAACUUCCAAAAUCAUAUAGAUAAUUUUGGAUUUUUUAAUUUAUUACAGUAAAUAUUUUGAUGAAUUUUUAGAAAUACACAAAACUCUAUGCAAAAUCUAACAAGGUUUUUUGCGAAUUUUAUAAUUGUCUAAACUUUUAAAAUCAAUCCAAUCUACAUAAAUGCAACUCCCAUUAAUCUGCGAUUCCAAUACAACCAGGCAUUGAAGAUGACUCGUUUUAAGAAAGUUUGUUAAGAGAAGCAAAGUUAUAAUCAAUUAAGAUUACCUUAAUUUUUUCUUAAAUUUAAUAUUCACCACCGUUAAAACCGUAUCUCAAACAAGUCCCUUAUAUUCUUCAAUGAAAUUCAUAAUCGUUAUCAAAUCAAGUUUUUCGUCAUCAUAAGCACAACAAAAUUCUAAGCAAUUCAAAGUUUACGAAUUUUGUGAAGCUACUUCACACUGUUGAGUCUGUGAACGAUUCCAAUUCAAUUAGAGAUGCAGAGUAACGAAAAAUUCCAUGACCUCGAUGAAACUAUGUUCUUCGAUUUUGAUUUUGAGAGACCGUGUUUAGUUUCUGGAAAGAGAAACUAGAAGAAGAACUUUUGUUGCAUAAAUUUAUUUAUAAUUUACUCAUUAUUAAGAGGGAAUAGUAUUAUCAUAAAGUACAGUACUUAAUUUUAUAUAGUCCAAUUGCGUCAGUUAUGCAACUGGCUCAGAAAAAGAGACGCUACUUGGUGUGUUUGUUGUAGUGAUUGCCUUAUGGGACACUAUACAUAUUUUAUAGAGCCAAAAAUAUUUAUUGGUAUAUAUAAGAUAUGCUACAUGGUUAAUGAAUGCAUAAAUCUUCAUCCCCAAACUAUACAUUCAUCAAUCACUGAAGCAUAUGAUGUUGAUCUUCUAUCUUAUUCUCUCUCUCUCAUCUGCCAUUUUGGGUAAUUAAGCUAACUAUGUCUAGAUCUCUUCCUCUAUCUCAUUCCAUCUAAAUGAAAGAUUUCAGCCAAGCUUCCUCAUUUUUCUUCAAAUUAUAAUAUGUAUAUAUGUCAUAUUAUUUUGAAGAAAUAUUAUAUGAAUUGAUUUCUUUUUUCUUGCAACAUCAAAUUUUACGUUUAAUAUCAAUUUGUGUACAAAUAUCCAGAGAAUUCACAAGUCUUCUUCCCUUCGUUUUGACAAGGGCUGAUGCUUGGCUUGUAAAAAAAAGUAAUUUUUAUUUUUAUUUUCAUAGUCCCAGCAUAAACUAUGGUGAUCUGAUUAAAACAAAAUACCCUAAUUCAGUUAUAUAUGUUUUAAAGAUUCAAAUGUGUUCGCAAUCGCUCAAAAGUUAGAAGCGAUUGGUGGGAAGGGCGGCAAGCUUUGGGAUGAUGGAGCCGACCAUGAUUAUGUAACAAAGAUUUAUGUACACGGUGGUCAUGAAGGCAUUCACUACAUCAAAUUCGACUAUGUCAAGAAUGGACAAUCCAUAGAUGGAACCAUCCAUGGUGGUUCGGCCGACGGCUUUACACAGACGGUAUAUUUAAUAAUUUCAUGCGGGUUAUUUUAUAAAGACACUUUUUAUUGGAAUUUUUUUUUGUAUUUUAAGAAAUAUAUAUAUAUAUAUGUAUAGCACUGUGAAAACAAACCAUAAAAGUAUAAGAAUAUUUAUAUCUUAUUUUACAAUCAAAAUUAUUAAAUUUCGCAUUUAUUGUUUGCAGUUAGAGAUUGACCAUCUCAAAUACGAACAUAUUGUAUCUGUUGAGGGUUACUAUGACGUAAGGACUGGUGUGAUGCAAGCACUCCAAUUCAAAACCAACAUCAAGACUUCAGGAUUUAUUGGAUAUCAAAAGGGUAUUAAGUUUUCACUUGAAGUCAGUGGAAAGAUCAUUGUUGGCUUCCAUGGAUCUGCUGGGCUCAACCUCCGCUCUCUUGGAGCAUAUUUAAAGACUCCUCCUACCAAAUCGGAGCUUCAAGGUGGCAUAACCGGAGGCGAAUAUUGGGAUGAUGGUCCUAAUUACGACGGCGUAAGAGCAGUGUAUGUUACUUUUACUGAAACUCAUAUAAGGAGUAUGAACAUCGACUACGACCAAGACGGCCAAGUGGCAUCUUGUUAUCACGGGAUGAAGAAUGGAGAAACACAAGAGGUCCUACAUCUCUACAACCCUAAACAUUCUUCGUCCAUAUAUAUAAACAUGGUUUUGAAGUGCUUAUUGUACGAGGUUCUUGUGAAUAUUGUAUCUAUAUCAAAAUUAUUCGACUGUAAGUUUACUAGUUAAACAUGGUCAACAAAUUUUAUAUACUAGGUUCGGUCUAUAUUUAUUUUAAACAGAAUUUCCAACACUAAUUUUAUACAUUAAUUGCAGUUUGUGGUGGACUUUCCUAAUGAAUAUAUGACAUCUGUGGAGGGUACCUACGACCACAUACAUGAAGGUAACUAUUUGGUCCUUACGUCUUUGACUUUCAAGACAUCAAAAGGGAGAAUCUCUCAGACAUUUGGAUUAGUGACUGGUACCAAAUUCGUAUUGGAGAGUCAAGGUAAUGCUAUUAUAGGGUUCCACGGAAGGGAUGGUGGUUCUUUUGAUGCUAUCGGAGUUUAUUUCGCUCCUAUGGCUCCUUCAUAGGGUUCCAUAGUCAAGAGCCUUGCAACUUUAAUCGUGUUCUUUCUUAUCUUAUACUACUUGUUACUUUGGUAUCGUGUUUCAGUUUUAUAAAUUUCAUUUAAUAAGAAAACGUUUAUGUAACCUAUCAUCAGUAUUUCAUAAUAAAAUAACUAUCAUGUCGUCGAAUUACAUUAAAAUGAAUUUGAUCAAUCCUUUUCUAUCCUCCGGUUUAAAUCUGUCAAAUUUUCCCCGAAUUUGAAGAAACGCAACUAUUUUACAUUUUUUCCGUGAGAAAAUUGCCAGAAAACAAGUAGUGAUAUUUUCAGCGUGAUGCUUUUUCUUAUUUUAUCUAUCAUUAAAUACUACAAUAAAUGUUUUGAAAUUUAAAAUAUUAAUCUCUGCCAACUAAGUAAAAUUUUCAGCAAACCUAAUGAAGCGCAUAGUUGCUGACGUGAUGUGCUUUUUUCAUGUCUUUUUGUAAGAAGUUAGCCCAAAAUAGAUGAGUAGGUAGACCUCUUAAACCAACCCAAAAGAUCCAAGAGCAAUGGAUUACGGUUGGAGGGCGUGGUGGCCGAGGACUAUUCAACUAGUAGAAAAGUCCAAAUCUUUAACUCGUCUAUUUCUUCUUUUACUAGUAAGCUUUAAUUUCAGCUUUAAAAAUUAGAUUAAGCUCUUGCUUAAUUCUCUUUAACUAUGUUCUUACAUAUUUCUAAAACUGUAUGACUUAAUUUUCAUAGCUUGUAUUGUUUUCUGCAUUUUAAUUGAAUACCCUCUAUCAAAAAAAAAUAGUUAAUUAACAAAAUUGAUCCAAAUUUAUAGAGUUGUGAUUUUGGAUUAUAUAGUUGCCGAAAAUUUUUUUGCAACUUUAAUUAAGUGACAUUAUUUUGUUAAAAUAUUUAAUGGUAUAAAUAAUCUUUUAUAGUGCAUAUUAUUUUUAUUUAUUUUUUGUUAUUCCAAAAAAAUGAGUUGAGGCGUUAGAUAUUAUUGAUUUUAUCUGAAUUUAAAACAAAUGGUUAUUCAUUAUUAUGUGUCAAAAAUUGUCAUAUGUUUAUUAUUUGCAAGAUCCAAACUCAUCCUACAAAUUAAGAAUUAGACAUUUUUGUAUAAAAAGGAAACAAAUUUGAUUUAUAAUAAAAAAAAUUCCAACAUAAACUUCAGAAAGAAAGUGUCUAAACAUGAGAAAACAAAAGAGUUUUUAUUUCGUUGUGGAUUUCUCCCUUGCAAUUUCUUUAUCAGAAAUUCAAUCCUUACUUAGAAUCUAUUUCAAUUUUGCUUAUUAAUUUCUAUCUUUCCUACAAAUCAUUUUUUUUAAUAUUGAUGUAAUAUUAUUUUCCAAUAAAAAGCACUAACAUAUUUACUUAUAUAUUUUAUGAGAUACACAUAUUUGUAAGGUGUAAUAUACUAUUCUUUCUAAGUCUCGCUAUACAUACAAAUUGUGUUGUGUUAAAUACCAAUUUUAUUAAAGCGUAUUUAUUUUGUUUUAUGAUCUGUGUGUUAAGAAUUUUAGGUCAAAUUAUUCGCUCAUAUCAUCCACUAACUAUCUCUAAACCCUAAACUCAAAUAAUAAUAUAGAGAUUUUAACCAGAAAGAAGAAUAUAUAUAACGAAAAUGAAUUUAGGAAAAGGGAAUCUAAUACCAAAUCUUUUUUUAAUUGAAAACAAUUUUUUCCUUAGAUACUAAUUAGAAAAAAAAAAUUAAGAAAAUGUAGAAUGCAUGCACGCAUUUUUUUAAAAAGAUCAAAUUUAUUAAUUAACAAAAGAGUAUUUAAAUACUGAUCAGUAUUUUGUGCAUGUAUAAUCAAGAUACAGGGACAUUUUAUUUUUGAAGAUUCUUUUAUUUUCAAUAAAGGAAGGGUAUCGUUUAAAGGUUUCUUUUAUCUUGUCUCAGUAUUUGUUUUUUUUUUUAAAAUAAAUUGUAUUGCAUAAAACCAAAUGUUCUUACAGAAUACAGAGGUGGUCUUGUUUCUUUUACUUUAUUUUUAGGGUGAUUUGCAAGAAUAAUAGGUUUUUGUCUGACAAUUGGAUAAAUAGCGUCCAAAAUCGGUCAAUUAACAAAAUAGCAAUAAUCAACUGCUUUUUGGGUGGAUAAAAUACCAUAAACCACUUGCUCCUUUAUCUCCAACACUGCUUUAUCUCUGACACGAAAAUGACAUAUCAUUUUUAUAAAGUUUGAGAUGUUACCAUCAACUUUGGAACAAUAGCAGUAUCUAUUUUUAAGAUAAUAAAAAAUAAUAAAAAAUCGACUUUAAAAUGAUAGUAGUGUCUAUAAUUUAUACAUAAAUAGACGGAUAUUAAAAGUCGAUUACGUACCUGUUCCCGAGCUUCUUCAGUAUUUCGAUCGAUUCGGCCAGCAUUAUCAUCAGUAACCUGAACAGUCAAAAUAAAUAUAAGACAUAUGUGCAUAUGUGAUUACAUAUAUGAAUUACAUAGACAACUAUUAAUAGAUGGAUACAAACCUGUCUUUUAUCUAACUCAGAAUUCGGGUCUGAAUGUCUGCACCUGCAUUAUCUUCGGUGGUCUAAGCAGUAACAGUAUAUAAAUCAAAAUAAUCAUUUACAAAAUAGACAGCUACAAAUAGAUAAAUACAAACUUGGUCGUUAGCGGAUUUGAAAUUCGAAUCUGGGAGGUCUGACAUAUCCUCGGUUGCCUGAAUAGUAUCAUGGAACUAAAAAAAAAACGAUUAUAAAAUAGAUAGUUACUAUUAGAUGUAUACGAACCUGAACUUUAGCAAAUUCAGAAUUUGAAUCUGGAAAAUCUAACAUAUUCUUGGUUGCCUGAACAAUAUCACUAGAGGAAUAAAAAAGCUAUUAUAAAAUAUAUGACUAUUAAUAGAUGAAUACGAACUUGAACUUAGCAGACUUGGAAUUCAGAUCUGAGAAGUCUGCAAUAUCCUCGGUUGCCUGAACAGUUACAGUAGAUGAAUACAAAAAAGGUGACUAUAAAAUGUUUGACUAUAUUUAUACAAUUAUAAACCUGAUCUUUAACAGACUCUGAAUUCGGGUAUGUUAUGUUAGUGUUUCUUCGCAAGGCUAUUAUGAACAGCAUAAUAAGGGUAUUUCUGACUUUUUUAUUUUGUUGUCGAUUUUUUUAUUUAUUUAAAAUCCAAAAACAUAACGCUAGGCAUCUUAAUAGCAAGUAAUACUAAGUAGUCAGAUACAAAAAUUUCAACUACAACUAAAAAGUGUAUAACAAUUAAUACACAGAUAAAGUAGUACGCCACAAAUGCAACGUGAGAUGUUCAUAAUUAAAUAGUAGUUGACUACAAGAAAAUGUUCAUAACGAGAGUACAUAACAUAGUCAUCUAUACAUAGGUCGUUUACUAUGGUAGAUACCUAAGGCACGAGAACAUUCCUCGCAACUUGGUAAUGAGUGAACAGGUAGCAAUGCUCACAGCACUUCAACUGGUGUUUCCAACCGUAUUCGAGGAAUAUAAGGUCUAGCAGCUGAAGUCUACAGAUUCUCUCUCUACUCUUACAAAAACAUCGAUCAAUACAUCUGAAGCUGGAGAAAUACAUUGUUUGCCAUUCUGUAUAUAUUAAUAAAGUAGACAACUAUUAGUAGACAGAUAUAAGACAACUAUUAGUAGACAACAAAGAUAAAGUAGACACCUAUUAAGCAACCUGAACAAAGAUAAAGUAGAUCUGGAUUGUUCACUCCAUUUUUGUAAUCAAACUAUUAACCAAUCUCUAAAACUAGAUCUAACAUUAAAAACAUGUGAUUACACAGAAAACAAGCAACACGAGUUGACAAAACGCAGUCCUAGAUAUUAGUAUUAAGUAUACUGUAAUGCUAUAUCUAGAAUUACAGAGAUGUCAUUUGUGGAAAAACGAGAACAAACGAGAAAAUCGAGCUGAGCAAACGAAAUGGCAGCUGAGAUUGAAAAUUAUACCGGUCACUCAGCAGUGAUGGAAGAACUACGGCUUAGGGGUCGAGAAAUGUAGGUGGUACGGUGGAUUAUUCUCGUUUACCAAGCUUCGGAGAAAGAGCUUGAGAGAGAAAAGGGAGGAAGAGCUGAAAAAAAGAAGAUUUUGAAUUUCAAAUUUGAAGAAAGAGAAUGAGUAUAUUAUGUAGAAGGAAUUUUUCUUUGUAAAAGAGAGAAUUUUUUUGUGAAAAAAGUAAAAUGUUGUCAGAUAUAAAAAGUUUACAAUGCUAGUGGAUUAUAUUGAAUAACAUUGCUAAAAGGAGAAAGUGGGGUGCUAAGUAAUUUUUCAUUAAUUAAACAUAAUAAAUAAUAGUACCAAUUUAUACACUGAAAUAUGCUCUUCCACCUAAUUUCCCUUAUUUUUAUUUUGUUAAAGGAAGAGAGGGUCUUUAAAAGGUUUUUAGUUUGUCUACCUUUUAUAUUUCUUUCUGUGGAGACAAAUAAUAGAACUACUUUUAAACGAAGAGAUCUUUAAAGGUUUUUUACUUUUUAGCUUCUCUACCUUUUAUUUUUCUUCAUGUGGAGUCAGGAAUAAUAGAAUAGAACUACUUUUUAAAAAGGAAGAGGAUUUUUUAAAGGUUUUUAGCUUGUCUCCCAUUUAUUUUUAUUCGUGUGGAGCCGUUAAAAUAUAAUAUAAUUACUUGAAGUCGUAGAGCAUUUCUCUCACGUUUAUACCAUUUGUAACUGUUUUCUUUUGGAUUUUUAUCUUAUAUAUAAUUUAAAUCAUAUUUCGACCAAAAAAAAAUAUAUAAUUUAAAUAAUACUACUGUAGCUCAUAACGGAAAAAUAUAAAGACCUACUUUGUACCGGCUUCUGUCUCAUAGCUCAAUUGUCAUUUUCACAUAAGUUUCCACUUCAUCCCUUUUUUCUUUUUUUUAUAUUUAUUAGAAUUUAAUCCACGCUAUAAUUGGAUAAUUUUCUCCUAAAAGAUAUUUUGAAACUUAAGAAAAUUUAUUUUUACCUUAAUUUUCUAAUAUGUUUAAUUAAUUAGAAAUUUUAAACCAGACUAAUCAGUUUAUUUAACUCGUUUUGCAGAAAAUUAAAAUAUUAUUCUGCUUAACUUUUAAAAAUCUAUCAUUUUAAAACUAAUUUAAUAUGCACCAUUUAAUAAUAAACAUAUAAUCAUUAAAACCUAUAAUUUUAUGGUCUGUCCACAAACUCUUAUAAAAUUUAUUUUUUUCUAGUUUAAUUUUUUUUAUAAAAUUAGUAAAAUAGUGUUUUAACUUUUUGAUAAAUAUUCAAAUAAAAUAUAAUAAACUAUAGUUUAUUAAUAUAAUAAUAAUUAAUAAAUUAAAUAAUAAAAUAAUAUAUUUAAUGGAAAACAAGUAUUUUCAAAUUCGUUUCUUAAGUUUUCAAAAAUAAUUAUAUCUUUUUUUAUUUUAAUUAUCUUUUUGUAAUAAUUUGAUACGUAAUAAUUUAGAAAAACUCAUUUUCUUAAAUGUUUUCUUAAAUAAUAACAUAGAGGUUUAUUUUAUUUUUUUGAAUAAAAUAUUAAACUAUUUUCAAAAAUAAUAAUUUUUUUAUAACUCAGUUUCUUAAUUUUUCAAAGCUAAAAAAUAAAAAGCAUAAAAAUCCUAAAAUAGAGCAUUUCAUGCUAAGAACUUCUUCACUACAAGAAAUCACCCAUUUCACAACGACCAUAUUCGUCGUUAAAUCGUUGUUAAAUGAGGUUUGCGACGAUUUAACGACGAAUUCCAGUUCGUCGUAUAUUGAUCGUCGUAACUGGUAAUUCGUCGUAAAAUCGUCUUUAAUUAGCGAGAAACGAAGAAUCGUCGUUAAAUCGUCGGGAAGCAUUCGUCGUAACAUCGUUGUAAAAGUAACGACGAUUAAAUGACGAAAAACAAUCGUCGGCAAUUCGUUGCAAAUUCGUGGUCGAAGAAUCGUCCUUAAAUCGUCGUUAUUAUACAUUCGUCCCUAAUUCGUCGUAAACAUAUCAUUGGUAAUUCGUCGUAAUUUACAACGAUUUAAGGACGAAAGUUUAUUUAUUUUUUAAACCCAAAUUUUUUGGAAAUAUUAAUUUAAAUUAAAUAAAUUAAUUUGAAUAAAUUAAUUCGAAAAUAUGAAAAUAAAAUUAUUUUAAUUAAAAAAACAAAAUAUUUUUAUUACAACAAAAAGAAAUUAUAUUUAAGCAUCAUAAUCAAUUUUGAAAUCUCCCAAAUCGUCCGCAAGAUUUGUAACCGGAGCAUGUGAUUGAUCCUCUCCACCACUUGUAGAUGCUCCUUGAGUACCCGCAGCUUGUGUCGCUCAACCACUUGUAGAUGCUUCUUGAGUACCCGCAGCUUGUGUCGCCAUUCUCCAUGCCGCCAAUCUUGCCUCCUUUUCCGCUGCACGUUUUUGACGUUUUGCUCACAAGGCAUUUGCAACAUCUGGGAUUGAGAGGGCAAUGAUAUCGAAGAUGGAGUCAUACUCCAAAAGCUCCUCCUGAACUUCCUGGUGAUAUGCGGUUUGAGACUCCUCUAAAGUUGCAAUCUUGGCCCGUAGAACGACUGGAUCAUCUUCUGGUCCUCGGCGGUGUGGUGCGGAUGACGAAGCACUCGGGACGUCUCUAAUAGAUCCCAUCCCUACAACUUUUCCCUUCUAUUUCGGAGCGACCUACAAUUUAAAGUUAAUUUUAUUAGAAAUCAAAAUAUUAAAAAUAAAUAAAUAAAUAAUAUUUAUUAAAUAUAUAUACCUCCUCGAAGAUUUGAUCGAUCUCACGAGUAGUCAACCCUCCGGAUUGAACUGAAGAACCUCCGGGAGAUAGUUGGGUCUCUCGCUCAGCAACCUUUGAAGUAACUUCAUUAUAGAGCUGCUCGGCUUUCUCAGAAACGAAUGCGCCAUCCUUUUUCCGAUGACACUUCGCGAAAACCUCUCUCAUGACGGGAAUUCGCCUCCAUUCUCGGCAGCCUAAAAAAAAGUUAUUAUAAUAUCAAAUACCAUAAAUUAAUUAUCUAAAAAUAUAUAAAUAACAAUUUCAUACCAUCUGCAGUCGAACACCUCCAAAUGGUGUUUGGCCAGCUGUAUGAGGAAAAACCUUCUUCUGACCCUCUGAAUCAGUCGCAUUGCGAGAAAUAGAACACUUUUCCGCAACCUCCUGCGAAUGCAGAAUCAACCAGUAUUGCACCAAACCCUUCCACACCUCAGGGUCCAUGCUAAUAGGCUUUGCAUCAUCGCCAAUGACUUUCCACGAUUUCUUCCAAUCGGAAACCGUGCCCAUAAGUCGAAGCUUCACUCUCUCCGUAAAGAGUCUCUCCACCUCGCUAUGGUCUUUCUCAUCCCAGUCAUACCGUUGCUACAAAAAAAACCACAUAAUUACAUUUUGGAAUAAUUUAAAUAAUCAUUUAAAUAAACAACAAAUUAUUUUAAAAAUUGAUUUUACCGCAAAUAUUUUGAACCAUGUGUCAAUGGUAUGCUGUGAAAGCUGGGUGAGAUUGCAAUGAGGCUCCACAAAGUAGGACUUGAUAAUAUCAGAAACCGUGCGGUCAACCUUGCUAUGAAUGCCAAACCUAAAACAACAAUAUAAAAAUUUAGAUAAAUAAAAUUAAUUAAAAUAAAUAUAAAUUAAUAAUAAUAAAACAUAUAUAUUUUAAUUAAUCAUUUCAUACCAAUGUGCACCCGGCGGAAGAUCAGGAUCUAGUUUAGUAAGUCUCUCUCGGCCCGGCUGUGCAAUGAUAUCAUGCACCGUCAAAUGUGCAUAAGGGAUCUCACGAUAAAGACAAUACGGACACGACAACCGACCAUGCGUAGUCCAUCCCGAUAACAUCCCGUAAGCAGGAAAAUCACUUAUAGUCCACAUAAGCACUGCUCGCAUAGUAAAAUUCUUUUUUCUUGCAAAAUCAUAUGUUCGAACUCCGGUAUACCACAAGUUCUCUAAUUCUUCAAUUAGAGGCUGCAAAAAUACAUCAAGGGAACGCUUUGGGUGUUUUGGACCAGGAACUAAAAUACUCAAGAAUAAAAAUUCUCUUUGCAUGCACAAAUCUGGAGGAAGGUUGUAAGGCGUUAAGAUUACAGGCCACAACGAAUAUUGUCUACCUGACAUACCAAAUGGACUAAAUCCAUCUGUGCAUAGACCAAGGUAUACAUUUCUUUUCUCUCUGGCAAAAUCUGGAUGUACGGACUUAAAGUGUUUCCACGCUUUAGCAUCCGACGGAUGAGUAAUCUUUCCAUCUGUCUGCAAAUGAUCUGCAUGCUAUCUCAUCGCUGCCGCUGUUCUUUCAGAAUGAUACAUUCGUUUCAACCUAUCAGUUAUAGGAAGGUACCACAUACGCUGGAAUGGUACUUUGCAGCGACUACUUCCUUGCGGCUUAUAUCUAGGCUUAUGACAAAAGCGACAUUCCUCCAACUUAUCAUCAUCUUUCCAAAAUAGCAUGCAAUUGUCAACACAGACAUCUAUCAUCUCAGAAGGCAAUCCUAGACUAUAAAUAAGUUUCUAGAUCUCAUAGUAAGUUCCAGCUGCUAAAUUGUCUGCCGGCAAAUACUCUUUAAUCAGGUCAGCCCAAUCAUCCAUGAAAGUCUCAGCUAAGUUAUGAUCAGUUUUAAUAGUCAUCAUCCUAGCUGCCAGUGAUAAUUUAGAUUGUCCUUCUUUGCAUCCAUUGUAAAGUGGCUGAUUAGCAGCACCUAACAUAUCAUAAAAAAAUUUUGCAUCUGCAUUGGGUUCCUCAUCAUGGACAGGUGCAAAUGUAUUUGUGGUCUCAUGAAAUGCAUCUGUAACCAUGUCUUAAAUUCUAUCAUGAUCAAACCUUUGCUGCUCUGCAUUAUAAUAUUCAUCUUGAUGCAAAUUAUUUGACGAGUCUUCAAAAUUUGAUGCUUGAUAAUUGCUAUUACUACUACCUGCACUACUUUCUCUAUGCCCUUCUCCAUGAUGAUACCAUAUAAAGUAAUGUGGCAUAAAUCCUCUAUUUAAUAUAUGCAACCACACUUUCGCGAUUGUGAUAAAUUUUCUAUUCAUGCAUUUAGGACAAGGACAAUACAUCAUACGACUGGCAAUCGUUCUUGGGAGUUUUCCCGCCUCAUGCAUGAAUCCCUCAACCCCCUCACUGAAUUCUUUUGUCAAUGAUCCCGUUGAAUCAAUACGAUUGUACAUCCAUUUUCGAAUUUCGUAUAUGGACGACAUUUCGUAUAUAUAUUUAAUAUUCACUACCAAGUGAAUAUUUUAAAAUUUAUACUUGUUCCCAAUUAAGUGAUCAAUUCAAUCACUCUUAUUUAGGAGCAUUGUGAUUUUUUUGGGUUAUGGGAGGCACUAUAUAUAGAUUUUUAUUUGGGUUACCAUCGAAUUAACAACGUUAUUUAACAACGAAUUAACGACGAAAUGUAGUUUAGCGACGAAUUAACAACGAAAAAUGAGAAUCGGGUGAAAACGUGUUUGACCGACCUAUUAUUUUGUCGUAAAUUCGUCGUUGAUUCCCGACAGAAAUUAUUCGUCGUUAAAUCGUCCCUAAGUUACGACGAUUUCACGACGACUCUUGUUAUCGUCGCCAGAUCGUCGUUAUUUCACAACGAUUUAACGUCGAUUAUGUUUCGUCGCAAAUUAACGACGAUUUGGCGAUGAUUCUAAGAAUCGUCGUGCAAUCGUCGUUAAUUCGAAGGGAAUUUACGACGAUUUGUAAUCGUCGUAAAUAAUCGUUGCUAAAGUCCUACUUUCUUGUAGUGCUUCUUGUCGCAAACAAUGUUUGCAAGCCAUCUUCGUACCGACUCCUGUCUCCUCCUUGUCUGGUCGUGCUUAGCCGGUUCCAAACCAUCAUAUCAGAGAGCUUCGGGAAUUGGUGUUUCACCAUGGCGUCUAUUGUUUCUCUCGCACCAAAAAAUUAUUGUUUUAAAAUAAAAAUUAAAACUUACAUUGUUGUCAAUGACAAGACAAAUAAAACUAUUAUAAUGAUUAAGUUUACAACGAAAUAAGAACAAUUACAGAUUGUUUUCUUUCUCAAAUAAGACUUCCACACGAACAUUAUGUUUAUGUGCCUUGUCCAUCAUCAUUCUAGGUCUGAUAUAAUCUAAUAUUUCUUGGCUAUUUUCGUUGUGAUUAAAUGCCUAUAAUUUUUUAGAAGAAUUUUGAUUGCUAUCCAUCUGUUCCAUCAAUUUAACCCAAACACUCCCGCAUCAUGAGAUGACAUAUUGUGGUUGCGAUCGAUACGAGUCCUACUAGGCUUUAUUUCUUCAGCGAGUGGUGGUAGAUUGCUAGACGGACAUAGUUAAGAUCGUUGGCUGCCGUUUUAAAUAAUAAUACUAAAAAAUUAGAUAUGACUUCGCCCGAGUUGAAACCAUUAUCUUCAUAUUUUGGUAGUAACACAUGAUAUAUCAUGAAAGAAACGAGAAAAUCAUUAUAACAAAAGACUAGAGAACAUAAAACAUAAUAAAUAUGAUCUAGAGGAACAAAAGAAAUAGUUUUAAAUGAAAUUGGAAUAUUCAUAAAAGUACUUGGCUUGACUGGGGUGGAAGAAUUUUUGGUUUAGAAAAAAAAAAUGAUUGUAUCCCUUUAAACUGGCAACGCUUUAGGUGAUAAACAAAAACAGUUUCUGAAGAAAUCCUUAGCCAUUGAUUCUGGCCGGUGGCCGAUGCAUCUUGAGUGUCGGCACUGUACCCCUGUUUUUAUUAUAUAUUUAUGUAUCUAUGUAUGUAUAUUUUCCUCCUUUUUCGUUUGGGUUGGGUUUCUAAGUGUUUGUCUGAUUUGAAGUCCAUCACUUUUGGGAAAUUUGGAGUGUUUUUUUUUUUGAAUGAAUGUUAAAUUUUAUUCGAAUAAAAAAAAAAGGCGUUUCUACAUCAAAGAUGCGAGCGAUUAAUAGUUACAAAUAAUUUUAAAAAUAAAAAUCAGAGCUUAGAAAAAGGUUGGACCGACGAACGUCCGUCAAUGGUGAUGUCGUGAUGCGAACCAUUCUUGAAGACCAAGCUCGAACCUGGUAUCCCCAAGGAGUCGUAUCGAACUGAAUCUGUUCCGGAUUCCUUUGUCUAUCUCCUUGAUCAAUCUAGCCUGUGAAACCGGUAGCAUUCCAUGCCUACGAGCAUUCCGUUCUCUCCAAAUCGUGUAAAUUGUGGCUUGAAACAAAUACCGAGCAAUGAAGCUGUGGAUUGUACUCAUUAACGGACACGAGAUGAGCUGAACAAUAGUGUCCCAAUCAAGAGAGAAAUCGUUGCGCAGAAAACCUCUUGCUAAGUUUCUCCAUAUCUGGCUUGUAAAUGGGUAAGAGAAGAAUAAGUGAUUCCUUGUUUCCAUUGUGGCUUGGCAAAACACACAUGCCACAAAGAUAUUUGAGUUCUACGCUAUCAUUCUCUCACCCGUCGAUAGCCUGUUCUGCAGCGUCAACCAAGCAAUGAAAUUGAACUUGGGGUUGUGAUGCUUAAACCAUACCGCAUUCGACCAUGGGACCUGUGGAUGAUGAGAUCGCAAUUGUUCGUAUGUGGCCUUUGUACUAAACCUCGUUUUAUACGAGUGUGUCUUUUCUUUCCACUUGUGUAUGUCUUCCUCUGUUUCCAUAUAGGUGGACACAGCUCCUGCUAUCUCGUCUUCCACCUUAUUGAGAAUGGGUUGACGAUGCCUUUGCCGUCUGUGCAUACGUAUCACCUCCUCCACCGUUGACUCAAUAUGAAUCCCCAAAUCCAUACAUCCGCGAACCCCAGUAACCUCCAGCAAAUUGCCCAAGUUUGACCAGUUGUCGAACCAGAAUAACGUCGAUCUACCAUUCCGCACCUCAACCUUUAUAAACUUUUCCGGAAGAUUCCGACUCUGCAAAAUCUGCUUCCACAUCCAGGAUCCGGAAGAGAGGUUUGAAGGCAACCAAACUGAACCACCUCGCAUCAAGUUUGCACGCAACCAAUUCACCCAGAGGGAGCUCUUUGACGUGAUAAUUCGCCAAAGCAAUUUCAAAGUACAAAUCUCGUUUGCAACCUGAAGAUUUUUAAGACCUAGUCCUCCUUCCUUCUUCGGCCUGCAAACUUUCGUCCAUUCUAGCUUUGCUUUUUGCGGAUUUAGGUCCGGCUCUGACCACAGAAAAGCCGAGCAGAUACUCUCGAUUUUGUCAAUUCAACCCUUGGGAAGUCUAUACGCCCCCAUCCAGAAAUUAGUUAAACUUCCAAUCACCGAAGCAAGUAGCUCUGGCCUUCCUGCGAAAGACAGAUUUCGAGCAGUCCAGGUUGACAUUUUACUGCGAAUCUUAUCAAUAAGUGACAUAUAAUCCAAUGAUCUCAUCUGCUUAGUCAGGAGAGGCAGACCCAGGUAACGAACAGGGAGAGAACCAAGCUCAAAAGAGAACCUUUGAGAGAUAAUUUCCCGUUGUGAAACAGAGAUUCCGGCUAAAUAUGCUGUCGACUUCUCGAGACUUAUUUUUAGCCCAGACAUUCGUGAAAAUUCUGAGAAAACCUCAAUAAUGCCUUCCAUUGAUCGCAGAGUCCCAUCAGAAAAAAACCAUAAGAUCAUCCGCGAAGCAAAGGUGAGUGAGAGUCAUGUUUGCACAUUUUGGAUGGAACCCGAAUCUGUUCUGAGAAGCAGCCUUAUCCAGCAUUAGCGACAAUAUGUUCAUGCAGGUAACGAACAAGUAUGGAGACAAAGAACAGCCCUGACGAAGGCCCCUCGAACUUCCAAAAUAACCCGCAAGUUCACCGUUGACUUGAACUGAAAACGAGGCAGUGGAAACACAUAGUCGAAUCCAAUGAAGGAAAUCCAAAGGAAGAUCCUUUGCCUCCAAAACCGUUAAAACAAAGUCUCAUUCCACUGUAUCAAACGCCUUUGAAAUGUCAAUUUCGAGAGCACAUCUAGAGGAGAUAGAGGGUUUAUGAUAGCAACAAGUUCAGAGGCUAGGAGUAAAUUUUCGACUAGGAGCCUAUCUUCGACAAAAGCCGACUGAUUCGGCAAGAUAAAAUUUGGAAGGAUAGUCUUCAGCCUAUUUGCCAGAAUCUUCGAAAUGAGCUUAUAUAUUACAUUACAACAAGCUAUCGGCCUGUAAUCCUUUAUUGUCUUAGCCUGUUCCCGGAAUUUUGGAGUGUUAUCUACAACAUAUAGCAAAUUAUUAUAUGGUUGUGUUUUUCUUGAAUGCGAUAGUGAUCAUUGACGAUAUCAGUGGUUAUACUACACGUUCAUGGUGGUUUCUUCAUGCGACACCUAUGGUGGUAUAUCACUGUAACUGAUGAUGUUACACAGCGAUUGUCUCCCGUUUCGUUCAAGCGUGGUCGGUUCCAAUGGGUAACCGUUUUCUCUCUCUCAUGUAGAGUUUCUUUCCGGUUUAAUCGGUUUAUGUGUUGGAUUGUUGUUGUCGAUACAACCAAUCCAUCUUCUCAAAAUUGCCGUAUAUGGGAUCCCGGAAUUUCGGUCAUGAUACAGAAAACUGUAGCCAUUAACCAAAAACAUAAGACGAUGACACCACAUCAACCAAAGUUAGAUGAAAGUGGGAUUUUUGCACAACCUUAUGUAAAAGAGAUAUUAGUUUCUUUUCAACUUUUGUUGUCGGAUCUCGCUUGUGCAGAAUUGGAGGCAAGAUGUAGAAGUUUGAUUUCAGAAAGGAGAAAAUCAAAGUCGAAAUAUGUCAAGAAGACUCUAAUACGAUUUCACUGGUAUCAGAUUGUCGAAGUUCCAGAACUAUUACCGGAAGCAUUGGGUUUUGUCAUGCGGUGUGUAAUUCAAAGGUAUAGCCAAGAGAUGCUAGCUACGCACAUUUCGCAUCAGAUUAAGAUCAAAUACGAAGAGGAAAAUAACGAAUUUUAUGAUUCGUUAGCGAGUAAGACUUAUCUAUGGAAAGCAUCAUCAAAUCACUUAUUUUGUUGUAUCUUUUUCACUAUAUGGCGCAUAUAUCUGCUUAUGUAAUAAUUUAUUUUCUGAAAGUUCUGUAUGACUUUGUAAUCCUUAUUUGAAAUCAAUAAAAUUGUUUGCCGUAAAAAAAAAGUAUUCAUAUAAACUAAUAUCGAUUCAUCAGUAUCUCUAGAAACAAAUAAAUUUUCAAAGUCCCAGCAUCAUUAGUUUAUAGAAGUUUUAAUGUAUUAAAUAUGUUUAUGACAGAGCGUCAUGGAUCGGUCGCAGUGGCGGAGGGAAAUGGAAUAAGAUGGGGUCAUUCGCCUCCAACGAAUUUUAAAAAUUGCUGUAAUUUAUUAAAGUUUAAUAUCAAUGCCCACACCCAUAAUAUUACAUAUACUCUCAUUUGCCACCAGGAAAAAAAAUUUCUGGCUCCCCCACUGAUCGAUCGUACCCUGACAAAGCUGUACGUAGUAAUACAUUUUAUCUAUAUCUUUCUCAUGCAUGGUCAAGUUGUACACUAAUACAUUUUAUCUUUAUCUUUCUCAUUACGAAGUCUGAUUGUGAGGUGUUUUUUUCCAGCAUUUAAGACUUCCAUCAUGAAUCAUGAUAUGCAGUGGGAAAAGCUCCCUAUUUUACUUCAUCAGAGUUUUGGUUCCGGAUCAUCUAUAAUGAAGCCAUAUACAAUGGACAACAUUAAAAUGUGUCCGCCAAUCGCCAUGCUCGUUAGACACGUAGCGAAGUCGUAACUUACUAAGAUAAUUUUUUACCAAAAAAAAAAGAACUGACUAAGAUAAUAUCACCAAAGUAAAACCUUUCCGUAGAGAAUUUUUUUAAAAAAAAAAAUAUUAAAUGUAAAUACUACCUUACAGACCAUAAAUCUCAUCUUGUAGCAAUGGAGUUACUUCCUUGGAUAAUAAAGGUAAAUUCUGAAAGUUGAAAGAACAGAACCGUGAGUAGUUGUAUAAUAGCCACCAAACUAUAACGGAAGAUAAUUAUUGGCGCUUUACUUCCGGUGGAAUAUGUUGAAGAAUUGAAGUACUUCAAACCCUAAAGAUACACAAUACAAGGAAGACAAAAAAAGAUUCAAACGUUCACAAUUUUUCAAAUAACCAACAUGAAAAUAAGUAAGCCUGUAAUUUUGACCUAAUAGCCUCAUAAAAUGCAAGUAAACAGCUUCUGGACCUUUUCAUGGCGAUUGAUGUACCCGGUGAGACCACGUCUUACAAUACAAAUGAUUUAGACGUCAAUCUCUUUUUUUUUUUUUUUUUUGAUUUAGACGUCAAUCUCAAAACCUAUGAUUGGAUUCUGAGGAGUCUUCAGUUAGAUAUAGGGUCGCAAUUUGCGUCUGAACUGGACAAAGUUUAGUGUAAUUUACGUUUCUGCUUGAUCCUUCGUGAGCGAUUGUGAGAUUUCGUUAAUUCCACACAUCCUAUUCGAUUGAGAGAUUAACCGGAGUGAAAAGACCAAGAAGACUUUCUAGUUUCUAGUAGGUUAAACCAGUGUACGCAAUGUUUUGUACUCGGAAGAAAGAAACUUCAAUUAUUGCACGAUAAUGAAAUACGCCAAGGAUUUCCCUAUUCAUGGGACAUAGGAGUCAGCCUUUUCACGUUAAGAAUAACCGUAACCGUGGUCCUGCCUUGACGCUGCAUAGCCGUUCAUCUUAUUCUACAUUGUUUUAAUUAUUAGUUAUCAAGGACAUGAAAACUGUUAGGAGCCCACCAGUUUAUAAGUGUAUGAUUUUAGUCAUUUUUUUGUUUCACUAAUUUAGGGGUACUUGGAUUUUUAUUUGUUUGGUAAAUCACGUGGGAAGCAUUUCUCUCACGUUUAGUUAUUACAAAUUUACAAUGCAACCGUUUCGAGAAUCGCAUUGUCACGAGAAUAUAAACGAUUUAUAUGGGUGAGCUUUUCAAUUUCUCAUUAAUUAUUAAAAUUUGUAAAACCCAAUUAAACUUUAUAUAGUGUGAAAAGCUAAAACACUACAAAACGACUGUCUAUAUAUAGGGUAUAUAGCACUACCCCAUAUCCAAUAUCAUUCUCGAUCACUCACAGCUCUUCUCCAACCUGAAGGUCGUUCUCUCUCUCUCUCUCUCUCUCGAAAUUAUUAGACAUGCUUUUUCCAUGUAUGAUUUGUUUUAUACUUGUUAACAUUUGUUAUUACGUUAUUAACUUAUUAUCAUUACAAGUAUACUACUGCGUUAUUCAGCUUAUUUGUUAAAGGUAAAUCAUCUGUGUAAGAUUGUUCUUAUGAAUGAAAUAAGAAAGAUGCUUCAUGUAGGAAAAAAAACAAUAUAUUACUAGGGUGUUUCUGUAUACUAUUACUUCUAUUCAGCAAAGAUUCGUUUUAGUUACAAAGAUAGGGGAAAGCAUAUUAAAAAUGUCAGUGUCCUCCCAGACCUGGAAGAUAUGGACUAACUUUUCAGAUUUUACAGACUGAAGAAUAAAAAGUUAUUAUUUUUAAAUAUGCCCUAUAAGUUUCGGAUUGUUAAUGUUUCUAUGUAAUUGGUAUAUAUUUCUCGUAUACUUUGCUCGAAGCCAGUUUUUUUUGUUUUUAUCUAGUGAUUUCCUCACUUUAAGUUUUAUGUCAAAGACUCAAAAGGAGACUGAUUGAAAUUGUCGUGUAAACGUAUUUUCCAAUGUGUUCACACAAAACAAAAAUACUACUCAUAGUUGACAAAGAAAAAAGUAUUCCCCAUAAUGGAGCCUGCGAAAUAAUUAUUCGAUAGAAAAAAACGUUAUUAUCUAGGUACUAACGUCUCCUAUGACAUUUGUAAUAAGUAGAAAACAUAGUUGAUCUUACUUCUUCUUCCUUUCUUAACCAAGACACCACAUUCUGUUUGUUAUUUGUUGUUUCUUGUCAAUUUGUGUAUUUUUUUUAAAGAGAUUCAAUAUUGCAGGUUUUCUCAGAAGUUAGAAAAGAAAAACAAUGUCCGAAAAGAUGGGACCAAUUGGUGGUAUCAAGGGAAAGACAUUCGACGAUGGAGCAGAUCAUGACGGUGUGGCCAAGAUAUACGUUGCACCUGGUGGUCGAGGGAUUGAGAACAUCAAGUUCGAUUAUGUUAAGAACGGAAAGAUAAAGGAAGGAUCUUUACAUGGUGUGAAAGCUAGAGGUUUCACUUCAACGGUGCGUGCUGAUUUCUUUCUUUUAUUCGACAACGCUACUUGUAGGAUAUUUUUAGAUUAUUAUUACUUUGCAUCUAAGUACAAUAAGAAUGUUUAUUGGAGGCUAGUGACAUUUUGAUCUUCGAUUUUCCCAGAUUGUGAUCAGUCAUCCCGAUGAGUACCUUAUUUCUGUAGAGGGGUGGUUCGACUCUUCCAAUGUCAUUCAAGGAAUCCAGUUCAAAACUAACAGAAACAUUUCUGAUAUAUUUGGAUAUGAAUUUGAUGGAGAUGGAACACAAUUUUCACUUCAAGUCAAGGACAAGAAGAUCAUCGGUUUUCAUGGAUUAGUUGAUUCUCAUCUCAAUUCUCUUGGAACUUACUUCACUCCCAUCUCUUCCUCCUCUUCGUCUUCCUCGUCCUCGAGUCCUCCUCUAAAAAAGUUAGAAGCUCAAGGAGGAAAUGGCCGAGAAAAAUUCGACGAUGGUACUUUUGAUCAUGUAAGAAAAGUUUCUGUUGGUCAAGGAGAUUCGGGUGUAGCGUAUAUCAAGUUCGAAUACGAAAAAGAUGGCAAAAGAGAGGCACACGAGCACGGAAAAAAGACAUUGUUAGGAACAGAGGAAUUCGAGGUUGAUCAAGACGAUUACAUCACAUCUAUGAAAGGUUACUACGAGAAACUCUUUGGCUCGGAGACAGAAAUUAUAACGACUCUUAUAUUCAAGACAUUCAAGGGCAUAACCUCUCAGCCUUUUGGAAUGCCCUCGGGGGAUAUGUUCUUGCUCGAAGGCGGCAAAAUCACUGGAUUCCAUGGCAGUUCGAGCGACGUUCUUCAUUCUAUCGGAGCUUAUAUUUCUCAUUCGGCUUCUCCCAAGAUGCUGCGUGGCAAUUGGAUCCAGGUACGUACGAAUUAGGGCUUAAGAGCAUCAUUAUAUAUUGGUUGAGUUUUUUUAAAAGUGUUUCUAGUAAUCUUAUAUUAGUAUUUUAACAUAAUUAAUAAAGAAUUCAACCAUUUAAAAAAGGACAUGUAUUAUUAUAGUCUCCCACAAAUAAAAAAAUCAAUUAUUCAAAAAGAGACAGAUAUUUUAAUAGUUUCUCUUGAGUUUCCGAAAGUUUCUCAAAUAUUCUCUCUCUCUUUCCUAGUUCCUACUUUUUUUAUUUUAUUUUAAUUUUGUGAAUACGAUACACACUCAAAACUAUCGCUAAAGAUGUUCUAACAUGCGGUUACACGAGUCGGUUUGGUCCCACAUAUUCAGUUUUUGUUUAUCAGAAGAUUUCAUAUUUUAUUUGGUUUGGUAAACAUAUAUAUAUAUAUAUAUAUAUUAUUUUGGACAACAAAUAUAAAUAGUAGUAAUAAUUUCAAAAUGUUGUAUUAUAUCGAAGUUUCUUAUUUUUUACUUUUAAAAGUAACAAAUUUUCAAUUUGAUUUUGGUUCAAAAAUUUGGAAAUGAUUUUGGUUCGGUUUGAAUAUUCUUAGAGACAGAUUGCGUAGUAAUACACCAAGUAAACAAGAUUAAUAUUGUUUAUGUGUGACCGUGAUGAUAUUGUGUUAUGAAACAUGUGGUGACUAUUAUUUUUAGGUGGAGCAAAAAGGCAAGGGUCCUGGACCAAGAUGCUCGCACGCUAUAGCAAUGGUUGGAGACAAAAUGUACUCUUUUGGAGGAGAGUUAACGCCAAAUUUCCACAUUGAUCAACACCUCUACGUCUUCGAUUUCAAGACACACACAUGGUCGCUUGCUCCUCCAAACGGCGACGUUCCUGAACUCCUUGCUUAGGCGUUUGCAUGGUGGCCAUCGGCACUACACUCUACGUCUUCGGUGGGCGCGAUGGCCACCGUAAUUACAAUGGUUUCUACUCUUACGACACAGUUAAAAGCGAGUGGAAACUCAUAACUCACGUCAAUAAAGGACCUGCACCGCGUAGCUUCCACGCAAUGGCUGCUGAUGACAAAAACGUUUAUGUCUUUGGUGGAGUGAGUACUACGGUACGUGUCAACACACUCCAUGCUUACAACAUCGUUGAUGAAAAGUGGAUUGAGCUUCCGAAUCCAGGAGAGUCUUGCAAAGCGAGAGGUGGAUCAGGGCUAGCGGUUGUGCAAGGGAAGAUUUGGGUUGUGUAUGGGUUUUGCGGGGACGAAAUGGAUGAUGUUCAUUGCUUUGAUCCGGCUGAAAGUAAGUGGACUAAAGUGGAAACAAGCGGUGAAAAGCCGUGGGGGAGAAGCGUGUUUUCGAUGGCUGUUCUAGGGAAAUAUAUAAUUAUAUCUGGAGGUGAGAUUGAGAUGGACCCAAAGGCUCACUUGGGUCCGGGGAAAUUGACCGGAGGAGCUUUCGUGUUGGACACAGAGAGUUUGAUGUGGCAGAAGCUUGAGGAAGGUCAUAGCCCGCGUGGAUGGUGCGCGUCCACGACUGCGUCCAUUGAUGGGAAAAAAGGGUUGUUGAUGUAUGGAGGGAAGUCUCCGACCAACGGUCGUUAUGAUGACAUCUUUUUCUAUGGCGUAGACUCUGCUUAAGACCGCUCGGUGUUGGUAAUAUUGUGAGCUUUAAAAGUUGUAGUUUGUUGCAUCAUGGGAAGGAUCUGGUGUCUGAGACCUAAAGAGUUGAGAGCUGAGAUUCUUGCUUGGUUUCUCUUCAUUUUCUGUGUGUUUUUUUUUAUUGAUCGAAUCAAUAAAUGUAGAACUGAGUUCUUAAAUAAGAUAAGCGUGGAAAUCAAGCAUUUGGUUUCUUUACUAUUGAUAUAGAAAAUAAGAUGUUUAAUUUGAGGUCCGGUGACAAUAUCAGGAAUAAGAGGAAUGAUAAAGAAAUAAAAAAUAAAAAGAAUCAUUUGGAAAAAAAUAAAUAAAAUAAAUAAAGAAAAUGAAUGAAAAUUGUCACAAUAAAUGGUAACCAGAAACAUGAAUGAAUAUCUUAAAACAAUAAAUAUUCAACAAUUAAUAACUUAAAAGAAAAAAAGUUUUUCUUGAUAGAGUCGAUUGUCUACAACUUUAGCGUCUCCAUUCCAUUCACAAUGUGUUUAAUAACUACAACAUAAAAAUCUGCAUUAUUGAUCUAUAAAAUAGUAUCCAACUAAUAACUUAGCAUUAAAAGUUUUCUUUUUAGAGAAUUGACCUCUUAAUAUAUCAAAUAACGUGUAUGUUAAAGUAAAAGUAGACAAACCUAUAACCGACAACGACGAGAAGCAAGUCUUUUGUCGGACCACAAUUUUUGGGCAAUAUGAUCUCGAACCAUUUUCAUAUAAACCUCUGUUGAUGUUUCUUCAUUUAUUCGUCCAUCAUCUUCAUCAUCUGAAAGAUUGUUCUCAUUUUGAUGUAUAUUAUCGCUUAUUUCUGCUUCUUCGAAAUCAAGAUCUUUAAUUUUGUUUCACCGAAUAAAAUUGUAAAAUCCCAUUGUUGCAAAUAUAACAUUUCUUUACGUCGAAAUAUUAUACAUUGGAAAUUCUCUAAUAACCCUCCACUUUUCCUUGCAUACACCAAAAGUGCGUUCAAUAACUGAACUAAUGAUGCAUGCCAACUAUUGAACAUUUCCUUAUUAUUUUUUGGAAACUCCUUAUUUAUAAACUUUUGAAGAUGAUAUCGAGUAUCAUCUUUUUAAUUUGUCUUUCCGAUAUGGAGCUAAAUAUCAACAUCUAUAUGGAGUAUUUUCUUUCAAGAGGUUUAGGAAACAUUGGAUCAUCUCGUAUAGCUGUUUCCAGCACUCGUGAGUCAUGUGUUGAUCCAGCCAUUCCAACAAAACAAUACGUAAAAAGCAUAUCGUGAUCACACAUUCCAAGGAUGUCAAAAAAAAAGAUCACACAUUCCAAGGACAUUAAGAUUUGCUGUUCCUUUUCGGUUCACAAACCGUAAUGUAUCUUGACCUGGAAUCAUCAUAACAGAUAUAUGUAUCCCAUUAAGAGCCCAAAUACAUCCACUAAAAUAAGGCCAAUACCGUCUAUCUCCUUCUAAACUAUUGGAUAUUGCUUCUAACUUAUAAGCUGUUAUUGGGCGUAAAUAGUCAACAGCCAAUCGUACUAUUGCCCCAAGAACACAAUGAAAUUUCCAUUCCUAAUUUUGGUCUGGUGACCAUAAUUGGACAAGGACAUUCUAUAUAAAUAGACAAACGUAAAAUUACAAAUGUUCUAUUAUUCAGAUCAAAUUAAAAAAAAAAAUAACGGAUUAAAGUAAAUCUAGCUGUUUUUCCCAACUCUAUCCCAAACUAUGAUUUGCUCCUACAUAAGAUGUGUGGAAAGCGGUUAUCUCAAGUCUCAUGAAAAACUUACGUCCCAUAUAAAGAAAAGAACGUGUAUGUACCUGCAAAAUACUGACGUAUAUGUGUACAUGCAGAAUAGGCUUCCAGUGGGAGCUAUUUUUUAAAAAAAUUAUUAUAAGCUCAGUGGGAGCUAUAUAUUCUAUUCACUUCACGUGUUGCUUUUCUACUGACUUUUUUCAUUUUUAUUUCUAGUUUUUUCAGUCACAAUGGAUCGGUCUAGUAAUUCUUAUAAUAAAUGAAAGGACUCGAUCUUAGACGAUGUUCUAAAAAUCGGCCGCUUAGGGCAUCUCUAACUCACCUUUAGAGAUUAUACUCUAACCCACUUCUAUUUUCACCUCUAAAACAAAGAUUGCUAUUUUUUCCUCCAAAUAUAGAAGGACUCUAUUUUUUCCCUCUAUAAUAGAGGUGAACUUUUUUAUUUAUAAAGUAGUCCUUUAACUUUUAAAUAUUUCUAUUUAUGCAAAAGGUAUAAUUUUUUAUGAAUAUAAAUGUGAUAAUUUUGGUUAUAGUUUAAAAAAAAAUUUUAAAACAUAUGAUAUUAUUAAAUAUAAAAAUUCUCAUUUGAAAUUAAACUACAAAAAGUAAUUGCAAAUUAAAAUUACAUAAAAAUAAACAAAAAAUAAACAAAAAAUAACAAUAAUUUAAUAAUCUCCUAAUUGGCUCCCGGAUCCACCAAAAUUAAAAUAUUGUCAAAACAAAGUAGAUGAAGGAGGAGCGUGUUGAUCUUGUUGCUGUUGUUCAUCACUUCGCUUCUGUAAAAUCCAAAUAGCAGAGGAUAAUAAUAUCUGAUUCUAAGAGUUUCUAGGUCCGUUUAGGAAAAUCAAAGAUUAAAAAGCUUAUUUUUUACUUCGGAAUGAAUUAGUCGAUCAUUUAUGGGAAAAACACAUCAGUAAAGAUGAUUAAACUAUUAUGUUUCUUUUUAUGAUGUAAUGUCUUUUUUAGUUUAUGAAUUUUUACUUCUAGUAUUAUUAUAAUAUGUUGAAACUUUCAUAAAAAGUAACAUAAAUGGGAUUAAUUUAAAAAUUUAGUCAAAGAUUAGUAUUACUAUAAUUUAUGAAAAUUUUUAUAAAAAGUAAAAUAACAGAUUAAAUCACAAAUUUUAUUUAUCAAAGUUAGUAUUAUUAUAAUUUAUGUAAGUUUUUGUAAAAAACAAUAAGUAGGGUAAAUUCAUAAAUUUUAUUAACAAAAGGUGUUAAGAACAAAUAACAAAAAGAAUAUAUUGAGAAUAUUCUUUUUUAAAGGGAAAAAUAGAGGUAACCAUUGGAGACAAAUGCACCUUUAUUUUAGAGGAAAAAAUAGAAGCAACCAUUGGAGAUGGUCUUAGGUGCUAAAAGAGAGGGUAGCUGCCCUGAUUUGUUUUUAGGCAGAGAGUUUAGGCGGUCAACCGAUUUUCAACUACUUAAAUUCGAUUUUUUAAAAAUUUGGUGAUUUCUUAAAAAAAAAAUUUACUUUUUUUUUUAAACCCACAGUAUUAACCUAAAAAAUCAAUCCAAAACUUUUAAUAUUUUUAUAUUAGUCCAAUAUUUUUUGUUUUAGUAAACUAAAACCUUAAAAUUGGCCCAAAAAUAUGUCUAAAAGUUCAAUGAUACUUAUAUUUCAAUGUAUAUAUGUUUUAACAAAUUUAAUCUGCAGAAAAAAAAUUAUUAAAUUUAAAAAAAACUAAUAUGAGUAAUUAAAAAUUAAAUAUAAUAUAGAUUAAUUAAAACUAAUCAUCAACUAAUCAGUGAUUAAUCAUUGAUUUUUGGUUUAAAUGCUAGUCAGAGCCCGUCUACCCAUCUACCGCUUAGCAAAUUAUUUAGCAGAUCUUAGAUAACAUAAUGUCGAUUUUUGAUGAGCUUAUAAUACUAGACCACAGUCGCUUUAAUUCUCCUCACUUAUAAACACGUUACAAAUUUGACCAAAAACAAACACGUUAAUUUUGACUAAUUUCAUUAUAAAUAAUUAUAAACUUAAAAAUAUUAAUAACUGCUAAUGAUUUUGUGAAAUUGAUAAAUUAUUUAAAUAGAAUAAAUGAUAAUUAUUCAUAUUUAAUUUAAACUUUAUGUUCUUUCUUAAUAUCUUUUUUUGGUCGGAUGUUCUUUCUUAAUACCUUAUUCAAACAAAAAUAACCGGCUUAGGAAAAUUAUAAUUAGAAAAACCCUAUAACUAAAAACGUUUUAGUAAUAACAAUGCAUAAAGUCUUACUUUUCUCAGAACAAAAAAACGUGUUUUAAGUAAAUAUAAUAAGUUACAUAAAAUGCUGCUACAUUAUACAUAAAUUUUUAUCGAUAUUGAUCACUUAAAAGUUAAAAAUUAUAUUCUUCAUUACCAAAAAACAUAGUUUAUAAAUUCUGUUAACGUGUUAACCAUAAUAUAUGAUACUUGUUAUUAUGAUAACUAACAUGAUCUAAUACUUAUUAGCAUAUUAGCAAUAAUAUUUAAUACUAGUAACGUGUUAACAUAGUAUAUAUUAAUGUAUUAAAAAUAAUAUUUGUAACAUGUUAAUAAUAAUAUUUUUUUUUACUGUUAGCACGCUAACAACUAUCAUAUAUUAUUUUUAAUAUAGUAACAAAUAUCAAAUAUUUAGUUACAAAAUAAAACAUUAACAGAUAUAAAAUGUUAUGUUUUUUGGUGAUGAAUAGUAUGUUUUCUGGUGAUGAAUAGUAACAUUGAUUUUUGAAUGAAUAGUAUUGGUAGAGUUUGAUGAACAAUCUAUGAACAAUAACAAUAAUAGUGAUGGUAAAAGAGGAGCAAAAUAGAAACAAAUAUAUUUUUCUUUCUAAUCAAAGUAAUUUUAAACUAUUAUUGAUAUAUACAUAUUUAAUUUUGAUAUCUUAUGAUAGAUAUUAGAUAUCGGCGUAUCGCUAAUAGUUAAUACUCAAGAUCCCUAAAAAUCCAAAUCAAUAAUUUCACGAUAAGAAAAGUAAAUGGAGUGAUAAAAAUUGACAUGUAAAAAGGGAUACCAUUUUUUAGUUGGAUCCUAGUCAUCUUAUACAACAAUUCUUAUUAUUUGUCAAGGAGAUCUGAAAUAAUUGGGGUCCACCAUUUUACAAGUAUCAUUUGUGUGAAAAUUUAGAAAUUAUUGAAUAGAAUAAAUGAUAAUUUUUCUAAAUUUAAAUAAAACUUUAUGUUCUUUCCAAAUGCUUUAUUGAAACAAAAAUCAACGGCUUAGAAAAAAACUAAUUACAAAAUGAAUCAUAUAACUAAAAAAUCUUCAGUGAUAACGAAGAAAAAUAAAUUCUGAAAAAGAAAAUGCAAAUCAAUAAUUUCACGGUACGAAAAGGAGAGAAUAAUAGGUCAUUUUCAAGAUGAAAGAUGGAGUUGCCAAUAAAGUGACAUGCAAAAGAAAAUGGACAUCACUUUCUAGUUGGGUCCCAUCUGUGCCAUUAUUCAUUCAUUAGCCAUCUGAUACAACAUUUCUUAUUAGCUGCCAAGACAUGUGAACUAUUUAGGGUCCACCAUUUUACGAGUAUCAUUUUUGUCAUGUUAUCGGACGGUUACUUGGAUUUUUAUUGGUUUUUUACACCACGUGGGAAGCAUUUCUCCCACGUUUCCGUUCGAGAAUCGCAACUACCGUCAUUGUCAGAAAGAAUGUAGAGCAUUAAUUAUUAAAAUUUGUAAGAAACAGUAAAGUUUUUAAAUACAUGUGAUCAAUCAAAAAUGACUGAGAGUACUAAACUUUACAUAGGGAGUGCAACAAAAAAAACUUUAAACUAAUUACUUGGAAGAUUGAAACAAAAAAAAAAACAUGGAACCAUCCGCUAAUUAAGUGAUAAAACCUAAGAAAACAACAUUGUACACAAAUAUAAUAAAUCCAGGGAAAAAACGCAGAAAUGUUAUAGUAUGUAUCCGGUAGAUACUCUAAACCUGAUAGGAUGAAUUAAAAAAGCAGGUAUAUGUAGGCUUAAAAUUUUAUCAGAAUUCAAGGUAUCUAUUUGGUCUUUACCUACUCUUAUCAUCCUGAGAAUAUAAUUUAUAUAAAGGAUUUGUAUUAGUGAGCUUUUCAAUUUCACACCAAUUAUUAGCAUUUGUAUAACAAUUUAAGUUUUAUAUUCAUGUGAUAAAUUUCAAAAACGACAGAGAGUAAACUUUAUUACGGAGUGUAAAAAAACUAAAACACUACAAAGCGAGUGUCAAUAUAUAGGGACUAUGGCACUACCCCAUAUCCAAUAUCAUUCUCGAUCACUCACAGCUCUUCUCCAACCUGAAGGUCUCUCUCUAUCUUUGCCUCCUUUUUCUCCACGAUUCUAUAUUCACAUUUUUAGCUGUCAACAUUCUCUAUUCACAUUAUCAUAAUAAAAUAUAAUUUCGUCCUUGUUAUAGGAUCAUACGGUUUUGCCAUGCAUCAACUGUUUUCUAUUUGAUAAUCGGCCAUUCAUCAAUUGUUGUUGUGAAUUAUUUUAUUUUUUGAUAAAUACUUGCAGUCAUGAAUUAUACGUUCUUAUCAAUAUAUACAAAGACACUACUCGGGUUUUUUGUAUGAUGUUCAACUGUAAAAAUAUUUAUUGUAAUUGCAAAAUAACGAAAAUUGAAGGAUAUUAGAGGUUUUAGUCAAACCGUCUUUAGAUACGUGAUACGUCCUAAAAUUCUCAGUAUUUAUAACGGUUCUCGUAUACUUGCUAAAAUCCAGAGCUUUUUAUACGUAUAAUUAUGUCAAAGAGUCAAAGGAGACUGAUUGACAUUGUGUCUUGUAAAAGUAUUUUCCAUUAGUGGAGCCUGAGAAACAAUAAUUCGAUAGAAAAAAUAGCUAGUAAUGGUAUUCAAGUUUUCCUGUGAUGAUAAGAAGAAAAACAGAGUUUUGUGUUUCUUCUUCUUCCUCUGUUUUUCUUUACAUGUGAACUUAUGUGGAAUUUGAAAUAACAAACUACUUUUUUGUUGCUUUUUGAAUUAAUUUUCAGAUUUUCUGUGUAAAGUUAAGAGAAGGAAAUGAUGUCCCAAAAGAUGGGAGCAAUGGGUGGUAACAUGGGAGGAGCAUUCGACGAUGGUGUUUUUGACGGUGUGAAGAAAAUAAUAGUCGGAAGAGAUCUUGGAUGUGUCUCAUAUAUCAAGAUCGAAUAUGAAAAGGACGGAAAAAUUGAAACCCGUGAGCAUGGGACUAUUCGUGGGCAACUAAAUGAGGUAAUAAAAUUAUUGUGACUUUGUUACUCUUCAAUCGGUUCGUAUCAAACCCUUAAAAAGCUGAUAGUUUGUUUGUUUCUUAUGGAAAAUGAAUUUCAGUUUGCGGUGGAAUAUCCGAAUGAAUAUAUCACAUCUGUUGGUGGAAGCUACGGUCAUGUUAGAUACUAUGAAGCAGUGCUCAUCAAAUCGCUAUUCUUCAAAACCUCCUACAGAAGAACCUCUCCGAGAUUUGGAGAUUCAGGUGGGAGAGAAUUCAUGCUCGAGAGUGAAAAUGGAGGAAAGCUUCUUGGAUUCCAUGGACGCUCAGGUCAAGCUCUUGAUGCCAUUGGACCCUACUUCUUCGCUGUUAAUUCUCCCCUUAAGCACUUUAACCGUCAAGGUGGGAGUGGGGGGAGUGCUUGGGACGAUGGUGCUUACGAUGGUAUUAGAAAAAUACUCGUUGGAAGAGGUGGUAAGUUUGUGAGUUAUGUUAGGUUUGAGUAUGCAAAAGGUGAAAGAAUGGUACCACAUGCUCAUGGGAAAAGACAAGAGGCUCCACAAGAGGUAUUUAUCGAUAUAUUUAUUAUCUAUGUGUAGUUUCGUGUUUUCAGAUAUAUUUUGAAAAAGAAAUAAAAAAAAAUUAAAAUAACUUUGGUUGCAGUUUGUGGUGGAUUAUCCUAAUGAACAUAUUACAUUAGUGGAGGGAACCAUCGAUGGCUAUCUUACAUCGCUUAGGUUUAAGACAUCAAAAGGAAGAACCUCCCCUGCUUUUGGAAAUGUGGUUGGUCGGAAAUUUGUGUUCGAGGAACAAGGUUUCAAGCUUGUUGGCUUCUGUGGUCGAUCCGGUGAUGCAAUUGAUGCUCUUGGUGCACAUUUUGGCCCUCUUCCAGCUCCAGCUCCAGCUCCAACUCCAACUCCAACUCCUGCUCCUGCUCCUGCUCCUGCUCCAGCUCCAGCUCCAGCUCCAACUCCAACUCCUGCUCCUGCUCCAGCUCCAGCUCCAGCUCCAACUCCAGCUCCAACUCCAGCUCCAGCUCCAGCUCCAGCUCCUGCUCCAGCUCCAGCUCGAGCUCCUGUUACCAUAAAGAUGGGACCAAUCGGUGGUAACAAGGGAACCACAUUUGACGAUGGUGUCUUCAAUGGUGUCAAGAAAAUAACUGUCGGGAAAGACGAGUACAGUAUAACUUACAUCAAGAUCGAAUAUGAAAAGGAUGGAAAAGUCGAAAUUCGUGAACACGGGACGAAUCGCGGGGAGCUAAAAGAGGUCAAAAUAUAUAAUUUUUUUCUAAAAAAUUGUUCUUAUUUAGUAGGUUAGCUCUUAAUUCAUUUGCUUAUAAUGGAAAAUGAAAUACAGUUUACGGUGAAAGAACAUAUCACAGCUGUAGGUGGAAGCUACAAUCAUAUUUUCAACUAUGAUACAACGCUUAUCACAUCACUAUACUUCACAACCUCCAAUGGCUUUACCUCUCCAUUAUUUGGUGAGAUGAGUGGAGAAGAAUUCAAUCUCAAAGGUGAAAAUGGUGGAAAGCUUCUUGGAUUCCAUGGACGUGGUGGUUAUGCUAUUGAUUCCAUUGGGGCUUUCUUCGAGACACACUCUAGUGGAUCCCAAAAGUUGUCCAAAAAGAUGGGACCGAUUGGUGGUAUUAAGGGAAAUACAUUCGACGAUGGUGUUUUCGAUGGUGUGAAGAAAAUAACUGUGGGGAAAGACAUGUAUGGUAUAACUUAUAUCAAGAUCGAAUAUGCAAAUGACGGAAAAUUGGAAACUCGUGAACACGGGACGGCUAGCGCGGAACUAGAAGAGGUGAAAAUAAAUAAAGGGUCUUUUGUGAAUUUUGUUAAUAUUCAAUUGGUUUGCUACUAAUUCGUUUGUUUAUAAUGGAAAAUGAAAUACAGUUUACUGUGGAUUAUCCAAAAGAACACAUUACAGCCGUUGGUGGAAGCUACGAUCAUAUCUUUACCUACGAUACAACGCUUGUGACAUCCCUCUACUUCACAACCUCCAAUGGAUUUACCUCUCCAUUAUUCGGUAAAAAUAGUGGAAAAGAGUUCAAUCUCAAAAGUGAAAAUGGAGGAAAGCUUGUUGGAUUCCAUGGACGUGGUGGCACUGCUAUUGAUGCCAUUGGGGCUUACUUCGACACCGGUUCAAAAGGAGGUGAAGGAGAGAGCUCCGGCAGCAACGAUACAAAACCUGUUGACACUGACACCAAACCCGGCAAAGACGAUUCAAAACCUGAUGCCUCGGGAAAGACGGGACUGCUUGGUGGUAAAGGUGGAAACGCAUUUGACGAUGGUCGUUUUGAUGGUGUAAAGAAAAUAACUGUGGGAGCGGAUGAUUUAAGUGUGACCUAUAUCAAGAUAGAAUACAUUAAAGAUGGAAAGGUCGAAAUCCGUGAACAUGGGACGAAUCGCGGGGAACUAAAAGAGGUUAGAUUGAAUCAAUCAAAAGUCUUUUUGUGUGUGAAUUUUGUUUUUAUUCAAUUGGUAUGCCACUAAUUCGUUUGUUAAUACAGUUUUCGGUGGAUUAUCCGAAAGACAAGAUCACAGCCGUUGGUGGAAGCUACGAUCAUAUUUUCACCUACGAUGCGACGCUUGUCACAUCACUAUACUUCACAACCUCCAAUGGAAUCACCUCUCCAUUAUUCGGUAAAACGAGUGGAAAUGACUUCAAUCUCAAAGGUGAAAAUGGAGAAAAGCUUGUUGGGUUCCAUGGACGUGGUGGCACUGCUAUUGAUGCCAUUGGAGCUUACUUCGACACUAGCAGCGAUUCCAGUACUCAAAGAGUGGACGCACAAGGAGGCAAGGGAGGCAUUCAAUGGGACGAUGGAGGCGAUCACGAUGGUGUGACGAAGAUACUUCUUGUAGGUAGUGGUCGAGGUAUUGAUCAAAUCAAGUUCGAUUAUCUCGAAAACAAGCAGCCAAAGGAAGGAACCCUCCAUGGUGUGAAAGGAAGAAGAAGUUUCGAAUCAACGGUCAGUAUAUAUAUAUAUAUAUAUAUAUUUUUUUUUUAGCUCAAAGAACAUUUUCUGUCAAAAUGUUGAUUUGAGAUUACUUAAAAUUUCCAUCUCGUAAAUUUUCGUGUUUUCUGCAGAUUGAGAUAAGUCAUCCCAAUGAGUAUCUGGUUGCCGUCAAGGGUUGGUACGAUUCAUCCAAUGUCAUUCAAGGACUUCAAUUCCAAACCAGCACAAAGACUUCCGAUUACUUUGUGUCUGGAUUUGCUGGAGAAGGUACAGAGUUUACACUUGAAGUUAAAGACAAGAAGAUCGUCGGUUUUCAUGGCUUUGCCGACUCUGGUCUCUAUUCUCUUGGAGCUUAUUUCGCUCCAAUCACCAAAUGAUCACCAAUUGAAAGUUUGUUGUGUUUGUUUCUUGAUUUCCAUAUGAAUAAAGUUAUAUCAGAGACAGACUUGUAGAUUUGUCACCUCAAGGUCUCUUGAUGGACUAUGAGUUAUGUUUGUGUUUCAACUUGAUGUUUGUGUUGUCGCUUGUUGUUUUUAAUAAAUGAUGUCUGUUCGAUCUAUUUUGAUUGUGUUUCUCUCUGAAUCUUGUUACGACUACAAAAGGUUUUUGUCUUAGCUAGUAAGUAUUUGCUACAUUUUUAUCUUCUUACCACAAUAUGUUGGAACUUUGAAUGAGUCGCACGAACAAGAUCAAGGAGGAUGUUUGCUUAAUAAUUAGGAUUGUGGCUUUAAACUGUAUGACGAUAAAGUAAUUGUUGUGAACGUAAAAAAGUUAAAGCCAUACUUUUUUGUUUUUAGAAAAAUGUGUCCAUCAUAAAGGAAAAUGAAAGAAAUGGACUGUGAUGCUUUUUGUGAAGUAGUUUUAGGAUUUGUAUAACUUUAAAAUAAAUAAAGUGGAUAAAAGAAAACUAUUACAAUUUUUUUAAAAAGUUCUCACAACCUUUAAAAUUAAUUUACCUAACAAUAUAUAAUAUAUAAAAUAAAUAUAGAAUACGUAUGCUAUAAAUGAAAUGAAAAAGAAACAAAUUGAAUACUUGUAUAAUAUGUAUACUGUUUAGAGGAUUUUCGGUUUUCGAGUAGGGGCAAGUCUCCUACAAAUCGGAGAAAACGUGAAGAUUCAGAAAACACGAUAGAGUGUGUUUUUCGAAAACUCUGCGAUGCUCAAAUCAGAAAAUAGCUCGAAAAUUUCACUUAAUUGCCAAUUAAAAAGCAGAAAGGAGCCGGAAACUUAUGAAGAAAAGUGGACCGAGAAUCCUCAUAAAGAGUAGGAUUUACUCAGGCCUUUUAGUGGAAUUGGGCUUUUCAGGGUGAAAAAAAAAUACUCCACGGUUAGGAACCGCCGUGGAGUGGUAAUGAAGAAAAGCGACCAAAAAUAUAGUCAGAAAAGAGUAAAGUGUAUGUACUUACGAACCACAAGUAUUUAAAGUGAACUCUUUUUUCGUGGAAAAGGGUAAAGUAUUUAUAAGGAGUUACGGACUCUGACUAGUAUACCGGAUCGGUCUAUAGACGGUGGUUUGGGUGGGUCGACCCAUGAUCCGACUUGACUGGGUUCGAAUCUUAUGAUGGCGUCAUGCUUCUGAUGGCCUCAUCAACUUUUCUUGGCAGCGUCCUUUUUGUUCUCAGUAUACGAGUCAGAUUGGCGGUUCAGACGCGGUAUGGCUCUUUACUGAACCUCUUUUUUUUUCCUGGCUCUUGCGAAAAGUCAUUGUCACUUGACAUACGUUAGGAAAACAAAUUAAAUGUCAAUCUUGUGGAUAUGUAAAGGUGUGGACAAUUAAAUCAAACUAAGACAUAUUCUUAUUGUCGAAUGGAGGGAAAUUUGAAUAAUGUUCCCGGUUAAGUAGUUUAUUCAUACCUGGUUCGGAUCCCUCGAUAUUGGGAUUGGACUGCUGCAGAUGGAUGAUUUUGUUUUCCGGAUACCUGUGCGAGCCACACUUUUUUAUAUUCCGAUCUUUUCAGAUCACCGAGUUUAGGUCUAGGACAUAGAGAAUAUGACUUCCUCUCCUUCUGACCACUUAGUUUCCAACUUUUUUGUUUUUGAUAGUGUGAUCUAUAUUGUCAGACACGAGGAGUCCGGGAAUAGAUGGCCUAUCGUAUUGGAUUUCCCAAAUCCGAUGGAUUCGUUACCCAAUACUAUAAGUUUAGGCCAUAUUAAAUCGACGGCCUAAUACGUGUCCUAAUUUAGCUUAGAGGGUUUACAAAAAAUCAUAAAGUAUAAACACGCGAUUCACCACUUAAGAAAAAUUGAAUUGAUAUAUUAAAGUUGCUUUUUUUUUAGUCAGUUUGCUAUAAAUACCAAAACUUGGUCAAAAUUAGCUGAAUAGGAAUGACAAGACGUAAAUCUAUCUCUACAGUGUUUGGUUGGAAUGUUAAUUACCAUAUAACCCUCAUUUCUCAGUCUCUCUCUUUCCUUUCUUUUAUAUUUAAAAACGAAGAAAAAUUAGUUGUAACAAGUUACAUGUUAUUGUAGCAUGUUAAAAAUUAUUGUAUUAUGUAAAUAUGUAGGUUAACUGCUAACUUUUAGCUUAGCACGAUAACAUAGUUGAUAUCAGUUAACUUUUAUGUUCUUUUUCGUCGGAACAUUAACAUUUUCCUAGAUGUGAUGAUUUUGUUACAAGUUAUAUUUGAUUGUAAUACGUUAAUUUAUGUAUUGUACCUCUAACGUUUGUUUUAACAUGGUAACUUAAUAAUUUUCUGUUUAACUUACAUGUUACCUCUAAAUGUUUAUAUGUUAUUAUACCAUUUAAACAUUUAGAUAUAGCUCUAACUUUAUAUUUCACACGACAAAUAAAAUCUUGAAUCAUCAACUUUCAUCUUCAAUCUCCAGAAAAACCCAAUAUAUGAACCAUUGUCGCCGAUAUCAAAAUCGAUCUAAAUUCCCAGAAAAUUCACAGCCAAAUUUGCACUUCCACCUAUUUUUGUAUUAUCCACAUCCAUAUCUUUGGUGUUCAUUCCUUUGACAUAGAUAAUCUUAUAAAGUGUUUUUGGUGAGUGUGUGUAAGAGAUUGAGUGAAGGAUUGUAAAAAAAUUAAAGAUUUGUGAGGAAAGAGAAAGAUGAACGACGGAAAUAUGGUAUGAAGAAGAAGAAGUUGUGAGAGAAAAAUAUUAAGGGUAAUAAUGUCAUAUUGAAAAGUAUACAGAAGAGUAAUAUUGCGUUUUCCUAUUUUGCAAAUUAUGAACAAUCAUGAGGUUAUCUACUACAAAUACUUUUUUUUUUUCAUGAUUGACACGUAAGCAUGCAUGCUGCGUAGCCGUCAUUCAAUGACUGAAAUGUUAUGUCAUUUUUUUUGGUGUACCAAAUGGCAAAUGCAUGGUUUAUUCUGUGCAGCCCUUUUUUAAUAAAUAUUAAACUGGUACAAUCAGAUUUGGCUUGUUUGCCAAUAGUUUCUAUUUCUAUUCCAAUAUUACUAGCUCUAACUAUCUAAGAAUAAACUUAAACUAGAUUUUAUCACGUGCAUCCGCACGGAAAAUUUGUUUUAAUCAAAAUUUGUAAUCUAAUUUAUGUUUCUUUAUAAAUAUAAUUUUUUAAUAAGUGAUAUAAAAAAAAUUAUGUUUAGAUAUAAUUUUUUUUUUUUUUUUUCAGUAUUAUUAUGACUACUAUGAUCAUAAAAUAAUUUUAGUCUGGUUAUUUUAUUAAUAAAAAAUGACUGUUAUUAUAAAAAUAAAUUUCUAACUCGUUCAUUUUAUUAAUCCGAGAAAGAUCAUGAUUAUGAAACCGUAAUUAUAAAUCCGUCCGUUUAUAUUACUUUAUAAUAUAAAUAUUUACUAGUUUUGAAAUAAUUUUCUCCUAAUAUCUUGCAUUCUCUAAUAACCUAAACAGCAUAAGACCAUAAUUAUUAAAAAAAAUUAAUUUGUCCCAUCAAAUUAUUAUAUAAUAUUAAUCUUUAUCUAUUUUUAAUAUGUGAAAUUUUAAUCUGAUAGAAUAUGAUUAAAAAAUAUAAUAAGAUAUUUGUUAAUCAUAUGUGUUAUUUUGAAAAUCUUAUUUAAAUUUCAAAUGUUAAAUUAAAUCUAACAUAUAUUUAAGGAAGUCUAUUUAAAUUAAUAUCUAUAGACUAUAGAUAUAACCUAUAUUUAAGAAAAUUUUUAGUUAUCUAAAUUAAUAUCUAAUUUUCAAAAUUAAAUUUAUAUAUAUUAAAAAUAUUUUAAAAAAAAAUUUUAGGAGUGUUUGUAAACAAACACUAAAAUUAAUUCUGUUUUAAUAUAAUAGAUUCGAUAAUUAAAAAACAAAGAACAAUAUAGCUGUGUCAGCCAAGAUGCCGUAAAAUUUCCGAUAUUUGAGACUGUAAUGAUUGCUUCAGUUGAAGUGAGUUUGAUUGAAUAAUCAAGAUGAUAAAAAAUCCAGAAAUUUCGUUUGACGAGAGAUGUUUGGUCUGAGGAAUGACCGGAAGUUUGGUCUAAUUAAGUCUUUGAAGAAAAGCCAACAUAGACAUACCGCUUCAAAAUCGGUUUUCUACAUUGCGUCAGUACUGUAGUAAAUUAUAGUCCCUUCUUUGUGGGAGAUGGGAUUUUCGAACUGAAACAAGAAGAAACUAAGAGAAAAAAUAGGAAUGAUGACAAAUAUUUAUUUAAAAUUUCUUUAUUAAUGUGUGAAUAAAUUUAUUACAAAUUUGCAUUUUACCGUGGUCUAUUACAGUCUUCUAGUCGCUCAAGCAAAACUUCAUAUCAUAUUUUUUAUCAUUAUGCAGAAGUAUAUUCAUCUGCGGAGGAAUAGUGGAUUGAGGUGACAAAACUUGGGCUAAAUUCAUAAGUUACUUGGAUUUUUAUUUGUUUAGGAAGCCAUUCUCUCUAACGUUCAUAACAAAUUCACCCGUUUUCGAGAAUCGCACCUACUGCCACUGUAAUGUUUUUUUCUCUCAAAUAUGUAAGUAUCAGUGUAUCAAAGACUCAAAAGGAGACUGGAAUUAUCUUGUAAAAAUUAAAAUAAAUGUUACGAUUCUUUUUUAGUUAAUUUGAUUUUUUAAUAAUUUUCUAACCCAAUUUUUAUAUAGCCGAUCGACUCGAGAAAAAAAAAACUGGGGCUAAACCGCGUUAACGGCUCUAAUAAUAUGUUCUCCUAAUUACAGAAUCUUUUUCUUUCUAAAAUUCCUAAUUACAGAAAAUGCCACUGAAGUAGUUACACAUGUGAAGAGCAUGGUGCAAGGGUAUCAUUUAUACAAAAAAAAUUAGGCUUCAUUUGGUUAGACCAUUUUUUUAUGGUCGGUGAUAUUCUUUUUUCUUUUUUUCUUGUAUAACCAAAAAAUGUUGAAUAUCGCCAUGUGACAAAAAAAUUAACGUUAACUAACCUUAUCACCGAAAUGGCAAUAAAUAUCAAACCAUUUGCCAUCCCCAAUUAUUGCAUUCACUCUCCUCCUCCACAUCUUCUCACUCAGGUACUCUCUCUCUACCUCUCUCUCACACUCUCUCUCUCUCUAUCUCUCUCCUCUCUCUCUCUCAUUUUCGAGUUUCUAGAUUAUUCUAUUCAUCCGAUCAAAACGAGCUACAGUAGAGAUUAAACAAAGACUAUGAAAGAAGUUUUUAUGUAUUUAAUAAAAGACCUUCAAGAAUUUAUGAACAAAGCAUUUUUGUGGCUAUGCAUGUUGAUAUCAAUUAUUGUCCCGAUUUUAUUUUCAAUAGUUUUCGUGUUUUUUCGGUAACACUUGUCUCCUUUCCUUUCUUUAAUUCUUCUAUAUACACAUUAUCAUUAUGUUUUGUUUUAUUGUUAAUUUCCAUUCUUCAAUUUAACGAUAUAAUUUUCUUUUGUUUUUAGUCGUACAUUAAUAUAUUUUAUUUUCAUGGCUUUUAAAAAAUAAAAGAGAUUGUUUUGUUUUCACACAAUAACGAAUUGACUUCGUAAGGUUUAGAUCGGUUGAAAUUAAACCAGAUCCAGACCGGUUCAUUUUAGAAAGAUACAGAAAAACACAUUCGAUGUUAAUAAGUACAAUUAUAUAUCGUGUAAUUUGAGUUUGAUCCAUCACACUCCUUAGUGGCCAAUCAAAGAUGUUAGAGUAACUGCGUUUUGUUAUUAUUUUUCUGGAAAUAUAUUGUGGAAAAAGGUAAUAUACAAGUCUAAACUUCUUUUUUUGGAAAUAUUUAAUUUUUAUCCAUAAUUUUCAGGAUAUAUUUGACUGAUCGUCUUAACGGCCACGAUGUCUUGGGAUGACGGAAAGCACACGAAGGUGAAGAGAGUUCAGCUUACGUUCGAUGACGUCAUCAGAUCCAUCCAGGUCGAGUACGUCGGAACCACCCUCCAGUCUCAGCGACGUGGCAACGGCGGCACCAAAUCUGACGGAGUUAGUAACAACAGUGCUAACAACAUUUUAGUAUUUAAGAGUGUUUUAACUGUAAAAGAUUAUAUUAAACAAUUGUGGUUUGUUAAUUACAUAUCUUUUUUUGUUGUUGGCACAUGCAGUUCACACUGAGCUCGGACGAGUACAUAACGGGAUUGUCUGGUUACUAUAGAACGACUUUUUCGGGAGACAUUAUAACGGCGUUAACGUUUAAGACGAACAAGAAGGCAUAUGGCCCUUACGGAAACAAAACUCAACACUACUUUUCCGCUGAAGCACCCAGUGGUAAUCAAAUCGCCGGAUUUCUAGGAACCUCCGGCAAUGCUCUCAACUCCCUAGACGUUCACUUUGCUCCCAUUCCUCCCGCUGGUAGCAUCGGACCAAAACCUGAUGAACCCGAAACCAAACCUCCCGGCCAAGAAGAUUCAAAAGGUGAUGGCUCCGGAAUCAAACCUCCCGGCCAAGAAGAUUCAAAAGGUGAUGGUUUCGAAACCAAACCUCCAGGCCAAGAGGAUUCAAAAGGUGAUGGCUCCGGAACCAAACCUCCUGGCAAAGAAGAUUCAAAAGGUGAUGGCUCCGGAACCAAACCUCCUGGCAAAGAGGAUUCAAAAGGUGAUGGCUCCGGACCAAACCUCCCGGCAAAGAAGAUUCAAAAGGUGAUGGCUCUGGAGCCAAACCUCCUGGCCAAGAAGAUUCAAAAGGUGAUGGCCCCGGAAAGACUGGGCUGAUCGGUGGUAACAGUGGAGACGCAUUUGAUGAUGGUCGUUUUGGUGGUGUGAAGAAAAUAACUGUUGGAGCAGAU
rnacentral:lncRNA from 1 species